GUCGAGAAUAAUUCACAAUGGGCGAAAGCCUGAUCCAGCCAUGCCGCGUGUGUGAAGAAGGUCUUCGGAUUGUAAAGCACUUUAAGUUGGGAGGAAGGGCAUUAACCUAAUACGUUAGUGUUUUGACGUUACCGACAGAAUAAGCACCGGCUAACUUCGUGCCAGCAGCCGCGGUAAUACGAAGGGUGCAAGCGUUAAUCGGAAUUACUGGGCGUAAAGCGCGCGUAGGUGGUUCGUUAAGUUGGAUGUGAAAGCCCCGGGCUCAACCUGGGAACUGCAUCCAAAACUGGCGAGCUAGAGUACGGUAGAGGGUGGUGGAAUUUCCUGUGUAGCGGUGAAAUGCGUAGAUAUAGGAAGGAACACCAGUGGCGAAGGCGACCACCUGGACUGAUACUGACACUGAGGUGCGAAAGCGUGGGGAGCAAACAGGAUUAGAUACCCCUGUAGUCC
rnacentral:rRNA from 1 species